GUGGGGAAUAUUGGACAAUGGGCGAAAGCCUGAUCCAGCCAUGCCGCGUGUGUGAAGAAGGUCUUCGGAUUGUAAAGCACUUUAAGUUGGGAGGAAGGGCAUUAACCUAAUACGUUAGUGUUUUGACGUUACCGACAGAAUAAGCACCGGCUAACUUCGUGCCAGCAGCCGCGGUAAUACGAAGGGUGCAAGCGUUAAUCGGAAUUACUGGGCGUAAAGCGCGCGUAGGGGGUUCGUUAAGUUGGAUGUGAAAGCCCCGGGCUCAACCUGGGAACUGCUUUCAAAACUGCUGGGCUAGAGUACGGUAGAGGGUGGUGGAAUUUCCUGUGUAGCGGUGAAAUGCGUAGAUAUAGGAAGGAACACCAGUGGCGAAGGCGACCACCUGGACUGAUACUGACACUGAGGUGCGAAAGCGUGGGGAGCAAACAGGAUUAGAUACCCUUGUAGUCC
rnacentral:rRNA from 1 species